UACGGAGGGUGCAAGCGUUAUCCGGAUUCACUGGGUUUAAAGGGUGCGUAGGUGGGUUGAUAAGUCAGUGGUGAAAUCCCCGAGCUUAACUUGGGAACUGCCAUUGAUACUAUUGAUCUUGAAUGCCGUGGAGGUCAGCGGAAUAUGUCAUGUAGCGGUGAAAUGCUUAGAUAUGACAUAGAACACCAAUUGCGAAGGCAGCUGGCUACGCGAAUAUUGACACUGAUGCACGAAAGCGUGGGGAUCAAACAGG
rnacentral:rRNA from 1 species